AUUGAACGCUGGCGGCAGGCUUAACACAUGCAAGUCGAGCGAGCGGCGGACGGGUGAGUAUUGUCUGGGACUCUGCCUGAUGGAGGGGGAUACCUACUGGAAACGGUAGCUAAUACCGCAUCCCAUCAGAUGUGCCCUGAUGGGAUUGGCUAGUAGGUGGGGUAAUGGCUCACCUAGGCGACGAUCCCUAGCUGGUCUGAGAGGAUGACCGGCCAGACUGGAACUGAGACACGGGCCAGACUCCUACGGGAGGAAGAAGUGGGGAAUAUUGCACAAUGGGCGAAAGCCUGAUGCAGCCAUGCCGAGUGUGUGAAGAAGGCCUUGGGGUUGUAAAGCACUUUCAGCGAGGAGGCGUUACUCGCAGAAGAAGCACCGGCUAACUCCGUGCCAGCAGCCGCGGUAAUUC
rnacentral:rRNA from 1 species